UGUCCGGAUGGUGUAGUGGCCCAUCAUGAAGGCCUGUCGAGCCUUCGACCCGGGUUCGAAUCCCGGUCCGGGCGU
rnacentral:tRNA from 1 species